GAUCAUGGCUCAGGAUGAACGCUGGCGGCGUGCCUAACACAUGCAAGUCGAGCGAAGCAUUUUAAAAGGAAGUUUUCGGAUGGAAUUUGAAAUGACUGAGCGGCGGACGGGUGAGUAACGCGUGGGUAACCUGCCUCAUACAGGGGGAUAACAGUUAGAAAUGACUGCUAAUACCGCAUAAGCACACAGUACCGCAUGGUAACAGUGUGAAAAACUCCGGUGGUAUGAGAUGGACCCGCG
rnacentral:rRNA from 1 species